GGCGCCCGUACCGCAAACCGACACAGGUAGAUAGGAAGAGAAUUCUAAGGCCAACGGGAGAAGGGUAGUUAAGGAACUCGGCAAAUUGACCCCGUAACUUAGGAAUAAGGGGUGCCACAGCGAUGUGGUCGCAGAGAAUAGGCCCAGGCAACUGUUUAUCAAAAACACAGGUCUCUGCCAAAUCGAAAGAUGAAGUAUAGGGGCUGACACCUGCCCGGUGCUGGAAGGUUAAGAGGAGAUGUGCAAGCAUUGAAUUGAAGCCCCAGUAAACGGCGGCCGUAACGAUAACGGUCCUAAGGUAGCGAAAUUCCUUGUCGGGUAAGUUCCGACCCGCACGAAUGGUGUAAUGAUCUGGGCACUGUCUCAAUUACCCGCCCGGCGAAAUUGUAGUACCGGUGAAGAUGCCGGUUACCCGCGACAAGACGGAAAGACCCCAUGGAGCUUUACUGUAGCUUAAUAUUGGGUUUCGAUAAUUUAUGUAUAGGAUAGGCGGGAGACUAGGAAACCGUGGCGCCAGCCACGGCGGAGUCGACGUUGGAAUACCGCUCUUAAGUUAUUGGAAUUCUAACCUGCGGCCAUGAAUCUGGCCGGGGGACAUUGUUAGGUGGGCAGUUUGACUGGGGCGGUCGCCUCCAAAAAGGUAACGGAGGCGCUCAAAGGUUGGCUCAGCAUGGUUGGAAACCAUGCCUUAGAGUGUAAACGCGUAAGCCAGCCUAACUGCGAGGAUGACGGUCCGAGCAGUAACGAAAGUUGGAGUUAGUGAUCCGGCGGUAUGAGAGUGGAACUGCCGUCGCUCAACGGAUAAAAGCUACCCUGGGGAUAACAGGCUGAUCUCCCCCAAGAGUCCACAUCGACGGGGAGGUUUGGCACCUCGAUGUCGGCUCAUCACAUCCUGGGGCUGUAUUCGGUCCCAAGGGUUCGGCUGUUCGCCGAUUAAAGUGGUACGCGGGCUGGGUUCAGAACGUCGUGAGACAGUUCGGUCCCUAUCUGUCGUGGGCGCAGGAUAUUUGAGGAGAGCUUUCCUUAGUACGAGAGGACCGGGAUGGACGCACCUCUGGCGCACCAGUUGUCACGCCAGUGGCACAGCUGGGCAACUAUGUGCGGAACGGAUAAACGCUGAAAGCAUCUAAGCGUGAAGCCGACUCCAAGAUUAGAUAUCCCAUAGCGUAAGCUAGUAAGACCCCUUGUAGACUACAAGGUUGAUAGGCUGCAUGUGUAAGCACGGUAACGUGUUCAGCUUGGCAGUACUAAUAGGUCGAGGGCUUGACCU
rnacentral:rRNA from 1 species